rnacentral:lncRNA from 1 species
GGAACAGACAGACUGGUGCACAGUCUCAGGAGGGAUGGUUGUCAGCUGCUAAAAUAUGGCCCUGAUGAUACACAGGGGCCUGUUUGAACUUCUGGAGACUGAAGGUGGGGACCUGCUGGACUCCAGCUUCCAGUCCUGUGACCAGAAGACCAGUGGCUGCUGUGACCUGGAGGAUGCUGCCACUACAUCCCCACGGAUUGCCAUAGAAACCAUGCUAGAUGAGUUGACUCUGGACAGACUGGUGGACUUUGGCCACCUAGUCAGCCCUGAGCUAAGAAUGGUAAAACGUUUAUCACUGAGUUAAUAUGGAAGGGAUAUGAAAGGAUGGAGAAAACGGCAUCAGGGAAGAAAGUGCUGACUGUGCUGCUCCACGGGGAGGCGUGAACAUCGACAUGUCCUUCAUGGUGUACGUGGCCCACCAGAAAGGGCUCCAGACAGAAGAGGAGAAGGCCCGGAUCAGCCACUGCAUGAUGGAGCUGGAGCUGCCUGUGUGGCACCAGGACUGCACUCUGGUUCUGGUGCAGAAGUCUCUGAGUGAACGUCUGAAACACUCUGCAGGGUCCCUGAGGAUGCCUCUUCACACAGGACUGUGCUGUGCAGGUCUGGACAUCUUUCCUUUAAAGGGGAAAGAUAUGUACCCAUUGAUAAUUGAAGAAUAUAACUUAUAAAUGCCUCAUGAGCUAAGUUCAACUGUCUUACCCCAUCAGAACCCAAAAUAUAAGCUUGUUUUAUUCGUAUUUUUGUAAACAAAGUAAAUGUAAACAAACAGCCUCAAAACAUGGUUAUAUCAAUAAUUGUAAUGUCAUCGAUGGUCUGUCCUUGCAACAAUAGCUCCCUCUAUGAAUUUGAGUGGUUACAUUUCUCCCACCCCAUCCCUCAGCUUUUUACCAAAAUAAGGGUGGGGAGGCCACUUUGUUAUUGUCUCAACUGCUGAUUGACGCUUUAAGAACACCAUCGAACUGCCUUUUUAAAUCAGACAUUCUAGACAUUCCAUACAGUAUGAGAUUUGGAAUUUCCAAAACAAGUAAAUGUAUCUGAUGGGGAUGUGUGAAACUCAAUCCUCUGAAGUGUUCCUACUUUUGUCACAGAAUAGCUAGCUUUUCACGUGGCCCGAUUGGUAAGACGCUUCGGGAGGACAGUCAAGUGUGCUAGCAAGACAGAGGUCCUGGGUUCGAGCCUCUGUGUGAGCUGAAUCAGUAGGAAUUGGUACUCACUAACCAAGCAAUGUGACAUCCGUUACAGAUGGUGCCGUGACCUGGAUCUGCAGUUGCGCUCAGCUCAACACUGGGGUCACUGUGGAGUAAGUUUGAGG